AUGAUGUGGAUUAAUUCGAUGCAACGCGAAAAACCUUACCUACCCUUGACAUGUCUGGAAAGCCGAAGAGAUUUGGCCGUGCUCGCAAGAGAACCGGAACACAGGUGCUGCAUGGCUGUCGUCAGCUCGUGUCGUGAGAUGUUGGGUUAAGUCCCGCAACGAGCGCAACCCUUGUCAUUAGUUGCUACGCAAGAGCACUCUAAUGAGACUGCCGGUGACAAACCGGAGGAAGGUGGGGAUGACGUCAAGUCCUCAUGGCCCUUAUGGGUAGGGCUUCACACGUCAUACAAUGGUCGGGACAGAGGGUCGCCAACCCGCGAGGGGGAGCCAAUCUCAGAAACCCGAUCGUAGUCCGGACCGCAGUCUGCAACUCGACUGCGUGAAGUCGGAAUCGCUAGUAAUCGCGGAUCAGAAUGUCGCGGUGAAUACGUUCCCGGGUCUUGUACACACCGCCCGUCACACCAUGGGAGUGGGUUUCACCAGAAGUAGGUAGCCUAACCGUAAGGAGGGCGCUUACCACGGUGGGAUUCAUGACUGGGGUGAAGUCGUAACAAGGUAGCCGUAUCGGAAGGUGCGGAUGGAUCACCUCCUU
rnacentral:rRNA from 1 species